rnacentral:rRNA from 1 species
CACCUCUAGCAUUAAUAGUAUUAGAGGCAUCGCCUGCCCAGUGACUCACGUUAAACGGCCGCGGUAUUCUGACCGUGCAAAGGUAGCAUAAUCACUUGUUUCUUAAUUAGGGACUAGCAUGAAUGGCUCGACGAGGGUUUAACUGUCUCUUACAUUUGAUCUAUGAAAUUGACCUCUCCGUGAAGAGGCGGAGAUACUAUAAUAAGACGAGAAGACCCUAUGGAGCUUUAAUUUAUUAACUUACUUGAGCAAAACACUAAACCUAUCAGGUCCAAAAUAUUUAUACUAAGUUAAUAAUUUUGGUUGGGGUGACCUCGGAGAACAAAAUAUCCUCCGAAAGAUUUUAUACUAGACCCACAAGUCUCACAAAUGAAAUUUAUUCCACUAUUUCAUAUCUUAAAUUGAUCCAGAUUUCACUGAACAAUGGACCAAGUUACCCUAGGGAUAACAGCGCAAUCCUUCUAGAGAGUUCAUAUCGAUAGUAGGGUUUACGACCUCGAUGUUGGAUCAGGACAUCCCAAUGGUGCAGCAGCUAUUAAAGGUUCGUUUGUUCAACGAUUAAAGUCCU